AAAUUCGUCCAGGCCUUGGAGUUGGCCUCCAACCUCAUUGAAGAGAAGUCAGUCCCCUUGAGAAGAGAAAGAUGAUGCAGAUGGAGGGCGUGGCUAACGAAGGAAAGACAAAGGAGAAGGAGAAGACCACGGAUCCACUCAAGCUAAGGCAGAAGCUAGAGAGGAUUGACGCUAAAAUUGAUGCCCUGAAAGCCAAAAAGGAGGCGGUCAUAAGACAACUAUAUGAGCUGGAGCAAAGUGCUACUGAAGGAGCUCCCUCCCAACCAAGAGAAGAAUAUCAAGGAUAUCCAUCUCCAUAGUGGUUAGAUGAAGGAAAUAAAAUGUUUAUCCUACCCAACCGAGGUUGCUGGACUCUGUCGACAUUUUUUUUCUUUUUUUGUUCAACGUACCGGAACUGUUAUAAGAGGUACAAGUCUUUUGUUGUUUUUUUUUUUCGGGUGGAAGCAGUCUUUUGUUGUUCAAAACAAAAGAUGUACAAGCCUUUCCACAGUAGAUGGGCCAAUAUUUGAGUGAUCCAUGAUUGCCAAGGAUAUUACUCUCUACAGCUUUUUU